AUGCUUAUCCUUUUGAUGAACCAGGAUGCACUUUGGCCCACGCUUUCGCUCCCUCUCCUGGAACUGGUGGAGAAGUACAUUUCGAUGAUGAUGAGUUUUUCACCUUCCGUUCAAGAAAAGUUUGGUCACUCUAUUGGACUUUCUCAUUCCAACAUUCCCGGGGCCCUGAUGUAUCCCACGUACAGCUGCAGGGACGUGCAGAGCUUCUCUCUGCCCUCAGAUGACAUCAGAGGAAUUCAGUCUCUCUAUGGCCCAAACGGAAACAGUCGUGAAACCCUAGACAAACCUGAUCCAAAACCACUCACGUCUCCUGACGCUUGUGACCCUAAAAUGAUCUUCAAUGCAGUUACAGUAUGGAGAGGAGAAAUGAUGUUCUUCAAGGACAGUUUCUCCCGGCGUACUUCUCAGGACAGAAGAGUGGAGCAAAAUUAAAUCAACAGUUUCUGGCCCAACGUCACAGAUAAUAUAGAUGCAGCUUAUGAAAGCCCAUUGCAAGAUUGAGUUAGAAAAAGAGUUUUCUAAUUCAAAGCCAGGCAAGUUUGGGCCCUUGUUGGCAACAAUGUUGAGAGUGGGUAUCCCAGGACUGUCAGCAUCCUGGGUCUGCCAUCAUCCGUAAGUAGAUUGAGUGCUGCCGUCUACGACCAAAACUCUGUGAAAACUUUGCUCUUCGCUGGCAAAAAUUACUAUAGGUAGGUCAAGUUCUGUGUAUCAUCAACAAAUAAGAGCCCUGAAAUGACAUGAAACCUUUUGCCUGCUCCAUAAGCCCAUUAUAAUGUUACAUUUCCCUUA